GAUGAACGCUGGCGGCGUGCCUAAUACAUGCAAGUCGAGCGAACAGAUAAGGAGCUUGCUCCUUUGACGUUAGCGGCGGACGGGUGAGUAACACGUGGGUAACCUACCUAUAAGACUGGAAUAACUCCGGGAAACCGGGGCUAAUGCCGGAUAACAUGUUGAACCGCAUGGUUCUACAGUGAAAGGCGGCUUUGCUGUCACUUAUAGAUGGACCCGCGCCGUAUUAGCUAGUUGGUGAGGUAACGGCUCACCAAGGCAACGAUACGUAGCCGACCUGAGAGGGUGAUCGGCCACACUGGAACUGAGACACGGUCCAGACUCCUACGGGAGGCAGCAGUAGGGAAUCUUCCGCAAUGGGCGAAAGCCUGACGGAGCAACGCCGCGUGAGUGAUGAAGGUCUUCGGAUCGUAAAACUCUGUUAUUAGGGAAGAACAAAUGCGUAAGUAACAGUGCGCGUCUUGACGGUACCUAAUCAGAAAGCCACGGCUAACUACGUG
rnacentral:rRNA from 1 species